rnacentral:lncRNA from 1 species
AAAUCAGUGUAAAUCCUACCUGGGAGUCUCUAAGCCACUUGAUUCACUGGAAUUUAGGGUUAGGUCUACAAGAAGGCAAUAUUCUUUUAUCAUGAUUAUAACACAGAGCUUGUUAAACAGCAGCAUGACUAUCCCUCGCCAGUAGAUAUCAAACAACAUAAUAAACAGAAAACACUGUUUCCCCAAUGUGCUCCUUGUCAAUUGGUUUCAGUAAAGUUAAUCAAAAGGCAUGAUUCCACUGCAGGAGAAUCUGCUGAGUUGGACACUCUGGGAAGAGAUGGGAGAUAGGAAUAAGGGAAAAGUUCUUUCAGGGACACACACACACACACA